rnacentral:rRNA from 1 species
AUUGAACGCUGGCGGCAGGCCUAACACAUGCAAGUCGAGCGGAUGAAGGGAGCUUGCUCCUGGAUUCAGCGGCGGACGGGUGAGUAAUGCCUAGGAAUCUGCCUGGUAGUGGGGGAUAACGUCCGGAAACGGGCGCUAAUACCGCAUACGUCCUGAGGGAGAAAGUGGGGGAUCUUCGGACCUCACGCUAUCAGAUGAGCCUAGGUCGGAUUAGCUAGUUGGUGGGGUAAAGGCCUACCAAGGCGACGAUCCGUAACUGGUCUGAGGGGAUGAUCAGUCAAACUGGAACUGAGAAAGGGUCCAGACUCCUAGGGGAGGCAGCAGUGGGGAAUAUUGGACAAUGGGCGAAAGCCGGAUCCAGCAAGGCCGCGGGUGGGAAGAAGGUCUUCGGAUUGUAAAGAACUUUAAGUGGGGAGGAAGGGAAGUAAGUUAAUACCUUGCUGUUUUGACGUACCAACAGAAUAAGCACCGGCUAACUUCGUG